UUCCAGACUCCUACGGGAGGCAGCAGUGGGGAAUAUUGCACAAUGGGGGAAACCCUGAUGCAGCGACGCCGCGUGAGCGAUGAAGUAUUUCGGUAUGUAAAGCUCUAUCAGCAGGGAAGAAGAUGACGGUACCUGACUAAGAAGCCCCGGCUAACUACGUGCCAGCAGCCGCGGUAAUACGUAGGGGGCAAGCGUUAUCCGGAUUUACUGGGUGUAAAGGGAGCGUAGACGGCGAUGCAAGCCAGAUGUGAAAGCCCGGGGCUCAACCCCGGGACUGCAUUUGGAACUGUGUGGCUGGAGUGUCGGAGAGGCAGGCAGAAUUCCUAGUGUAGCGGUGAAAUGCGUAGAUAUUAGGAGGAACACCAGUGGCGAAGGCGGCCUGCUGGACGAUGACUGACGUUGAGGCUCGAAAGCGUGGGGAGCAAACAGGAUUAGAUACCCCAGUACUA
rnacentral:rRNA from 1 species